rnacentral:lncRNA from 1 species
AAGUGAGCUGCAGAUGUUUAGGCACAACCACAUGGCUCAUGUUGAUCGGGCACCCACUGCUUUCCCAGGAUCCUGGUGAUGAUGAGAGGAGAGUAGAGACCAGCUUUGGAAAGUCCCAUGCUAGUAAUUCUGUUUAAUAAUGCCAUAAAGGAGAGGUAACCCCCCAAACAGGCAGCAUUAGCAGCCCCAGGGGCCGCAUUAAGCUCCAAUCUCUGGCUGAUGGCAAGGCUCGGCCGAUCCCAACUGCAGCAAGCAGCCCAUGCACGGGGCAAGCAGAACAGCAAGCCUGCUGCCAGCACGGCGCUG